UACAGAGGGGGCAAGCGUUAUUCGGAAUUAUUGGGCGUAAAGGGCGCGUAGGCGGCAUGGCAAGUGGAUGGUGAAAUCCCUCGGCUUAACCGAGGAACUGCCGUCCAAACUGCUUCGCUUGAGACCGGGAGAGGUGAGUGGAAUUCCCAGUGUAGCGGUGAAAUGCGUAGAUAUUGGGAGGAACACCAGUGGCGAAGGCGGCCCACUGGAUCGGUACUGACGCUGAGGUGCGAAAGCGUGGGGAGCAAACAGG
rnacentral:rRNA from 1 species